UACGUAGGGGGCGAGCGUUGUCCGGAUUUAUUGGGCGUAAAGAGCUCGUAGGCGGUUUGUCGCGUCUGCUGUGAAAACUCGGGGCUUAACCCUGGGCCUGCAGUGGGUACGGGCAGACUAGAGUGCGGUAGGGGAGACUGGAAUUCCUGGUGUAGCGGUGAAAUGCGCAGAUAUCAGGAGGAACACCGGUGGCGAAGGCGGGUCUCUGGGCCGUAACUGACGCUGAGGAGCGAAAGCGUGGGGAGCGAACAGG
rnacentral:rRNA from 1 species